UCUUCUUAUCCGUCGCCAGAGCCAGAAUGCCAGAUUGUCUUACUAUCCAUAUCUCAUUAUCUUUUAAUUCUUCUAUUAAGUAAUUGAACAGAUAGAACUCUACCGUCUCACACGCGCGCACUCUCUCCCACUCAGAGACCGACUGAGAGAUCUCGAAGUCUUCCUGUGUAAAUCAUAGACCAGCAUCAUCCUUCCCGACCUACGCCGCUAAAGCUACACACUUGAAUCAAAACAAUAUCUUCUUUCUCGUCUAAUUCAAGUUGUUGUUGGGUUGCCUAAAAUACACCGGCACUCUCUUUCUCACCUUUAUCAGUUGUUGCUCUAUGUUCAAGUCGAUCAAUCAGGAGCUUUCAAGUUGAUAGCUGGAAAUUGGAAUCAGUUAUAGAUCUUUGAAACAAAGGCAAGUACUGAGGUUUCCUUUUACUCAUCACCUUAAUUUGCUUCAUUUAUUCUGUUACUUGCAAUAUAAGGGUAUUAGAUUAGUUUCAGGUCAGGAUUUGGCAAUGAAGAUGAAUCCCAACUGCUAACAGGUUGAUAUAUAUCAAGUUAUUUCUGUAUAGCACUUGUCAUAGUUUAAAGAUUCUCUAAUUUGUAUACUGAUUCAAUUUCUUGGUUUCCUUAACUAUAUUGUUUUAGGUGUUUCUUUGAAGUAUUGUAAGAGUCUUCUGUUUUGUUUUAGGUAACGAGCCCCUGCGUUUUAUUUCCUUUGAAGCUACUGGCUUACCAUUUGAGAUUUUUGAGAGGAUAUUUUGUGGGCAGGAGCACAUCAGUCAGAGGAGUUUGUGUAGUCUUGGUUGUAUUCAGUAGAACAUAUCCAGUGAGAAAAAAUGUACCCAUUAGAAUAGAAUUUUUUAAUUUUCAUUUGUAGGAUAUUUUUAAGCCUUUUGUAUGGAUUAUGGAAUACCAUAUUGUAUUUGGUCACCUAUUAAUACAUUUUCGGCUGUGGUAUUUUGAAGCCCUCAAUACAA